UUCUGGUACUCAACCUAGGUUUCUGGUGGAGCUAAUUUAGCGUUAGAGUUUCUUAAAAAAAUACGACUCAACCAAGUCUAGUCGAAAAUUUUAUUGAAUUCAGAUAAUUUAGAAAUUUUUAAACGAUCAUAACUCGCUCAAGUAUCUAAUUUUAUCGCACAACUCCAAUUCGAAAAACACUUUUUCAGAUCUAUACAUUGAAUAGUAAAACAAUUCCGGCCGAUUUUGAGACCCAAAUUCAAUUGUUUCGGUCUUUUCUGUUUUUUUGGGUUUUUGUUUGUGCUUUUAGGUUAUUUUCAAAAAAAAUUAUAUUUUUUCUAUUUUUAAUCUGAUUAUUUAAUUAUUUUUAUCUAAUUAGAUUUAGAGAUAUAUUAAGAUUUAUU
rnacentral:lncRNA from 1 species